rnacentral:lncRNA from 1 species
CUGCUCUGCCGCAGGCUGUCACUGCAGGGAAUCCAUGCCUCCCGGUCCUGGACCAUUCCACCGCCCGACCUUCAUUCUAUUUGUAUUUUUUAUUUAUUUUAUUUUUUACAAAUCAGGCUUCACCGUGGGACGCCUGAAAUUCUCCCCAGUACGAAAAGAAAAAAGCAAGCGAACGGAACCGCUGCUGAGUAUCCAAUGGAAAGCAGUGAAUCUUAGGUAACAGGAGGAAGUGCCUGGAGGACAUCUGUGACCCGAAGAGAAAUGACAGGUUGGGAGAUUGAGAACGCCGGCUGAUCCGAGGAUGUGAAGCCGUAACUGGGGGGCCCCAGGCACUCGGGCGUUAGGGCCAUUAUGGGAGGUCACUGUGGGAGGGAGGCAGCCCUUCAGUGGGAUUACCAAGAUUCCUGGAGAAAUUGAGCGGAAUUGGGGUCUGCGAUUCAGAUUCUCUCCUGUGUGUCAGAAGGAGUGUGUGUGUGUGUGUGAGGCACGUGUUCAUAAGAAUGGUGACAAACACACACGACAGGCAGGCAUGCAAGCACACACCACGCACGCAUGCACACACAAACAUAGAAAUGUAAAUGUGUUGAAAUGUAUUGCUGAAAAUUUGCUUAAUCUUGUCAACCUUGUUUGAGCAUUUAUUGUUAAAUCUGCUGAAAUGUUUUAGUUUAUUUAGACACCUACAUAUUAGCCCAUCAUGUUCAGACAAUGUUCAAUACUCAUGCAUUUUUCAUACUAACUAGGAGAACAGUACAGCAGCGGGGGUAUCCAUGUCAUUUGCCCUUGCCACCUCGAUACCAGUGUUUAAUUUGAGCCGGAUCCUCCCGGAAAAAGGAUCCGGCACACCUCCGCUUUGGACUGUUUCGUUCCAGAACCUAUUUGGCCAGAUCCGGUACCUCUCGUGGCAUGAAAAAUAAUUGUCAC